UAUCUCACUCCAUUUUAUCCUUUCUCUCUACCAAACACACAGGAGAAGAUCGAAGCCCUAGAAGCUACACGAUGAUUAUUGCAAGUAGUGGAGAGCAGGGAAACCAUAUCUGCGGCCAGAUUCAUCUGUGGAUAAGCACUACUGAGACUCUACUUUUAGUUUUUACUAUAUGAAUUCCUUAUAGAGAGAGUGAUCGUAUGUUUUUCUUUAUACGUAUUGGGAAUACAAUUCAGUUCGUUGUUAUGUUUGAAGAAAAGGAGGUAGUGGAAGGUGGGCCAUGCCCAAUUGCUACUGGACAGUGGUUUGUGUUGAACUCAGGAGAUUGAAAGUGGCCUAAAGGAGACUCAUAAAGCGCAUCAAAAAAGGGUAACGAUGGACUAUAAGUUUGAACACCAUUGCUAUUAUACAUACACAUGCACACACAUAGCAGAAUAUAACCCCAAAGUAUAUAUGGCCUUUUAUUUGGGGGGUAUGCUUAUAAAUUUAGAAGAUUCUGCCUCGUUCUGAUAAAUGUGUAAAGCAGAGAUGGGGAUUGGGAAGGUUGGGGUGUAGAGUUCAAUGUGAUCUAUACCGUCAUUAAUUUCAUUUUCAUAGGAUUCACAUCACCAUAUUUUGUUUUUUUGAUACAAUCAUAUCACUAUAUCUAAUUUAAUUUGGAGUUGGGUUCUCAA